rnacentral:lncRNA from 1 species
UGCGGCUGAGCCGCCCGCGGGGCGGACGACGGCCGGGCGCGCUCCGUCUGUGCGGCGGGCGCUCUCCUUCUGGGUAAGCCGUGAGAGCGCCGCGGCCGCGGGGCAGGAGGUGGGGAAGGACGGCCGUCCCCGGGGGCUUUCAAGGCACAGCAGCGACUCUGGCGAUGGCUUCAAGGAGGAAGUUGGAGUGACCGCGGCAGCUGCUUCCCCCCAACGCAGCUGUUAUCUUAACUCCCGGAGCGACCGAUAGAGAAACUCAGAGAAGCGCAACCGGCGGCAGGAUGUGAGCGCAGCGGCGCGGCCGGGGGCAGAGAGCGGCGCCGGGAGCAGCGGGAGCCGUCUUCGCUUCUCCAGCGGCCGCGCCGUGCGGCAGCGGUGUCCC